ACCUGCGGAAGGAUCAUUGUCGUGACCCUAACCAAAAUAGACUGUGAACAUGUCAUCAAUUCAACCGGGUGAUGGCCAUAGUGUCGUCUCCUGGCAUGGGCCUCUAUCCUUCUUAUGACGGGUGUGGUCCACAAAAGAACCCACGACGUCGGAUGACGUCAAGGAACACUUUUAUUUAUUGCUUGCACAAUGGUGUGAACUUCUUGUUUGAUACACCUUGUGCUGUGAUGCUACCUUAAUCCACAAGACUCUCGGCAACGGAUAUCUUGGCUCUCACAUCGAUGAAGAACGUAGCAAAAUGCGAUACCUGGUGUGAAUUGCAGAAUCCCGUGAACCAUCGAGUUUUUGAACGCAAGUUGCGCCUGAGGCCACUUGGUUGAGGGCACGUCUGCUUGGGCGUCACGCGAAAAGACACUCCCCCACCCUUCAUGGAGGGGGAUGUGGUGUUUGGCCUUCCGUGUCCUGUGAAUGGUUCGGUGGACUAAAGUAUAGGCUGCUAGCUAUGGGGCUGGUCAUAGCACUUGGUGGAUGACAAAUGUUGUUCUCGGAGUUGUGACAUGUAUUGCUUCUAGCGAUAGUAUGGNUUAUNAUCCANGNANGGAGCUUUGAUUGCUUCAACCAUGACCCCA
rnacentral:rRNA from 1 species